rnacentral:rRNA from 1 species
GCCCAGUGACUCUGUUUAACGGCCGCGGUAUCCUAACCGUGCGAAGGUAGCGUAAUCACUUGUUCUUUAAAUGAGGACUAGUAUGAAUGGCAUCACGAGGGUUAUACUGUCUCCUUUCCUCAAUCAGUGAAACUAAUCUCCCCGUGAAGAAGCAGGGAUAAAUAUAUAAGACGAGAAGACCCUAUGGAGCUUUAAACUAAAUUACAUUUGCCUAAUCAACAAAAAUCUCAGAAAAAUAAAAUUUACCUAAGCAUUAUGAUAAAUAGUUUUGGGUUGGGGUGACCGCGGAGUAUAAAACAUCCUCCGCGUUGAACAAGAUUGUUUCUUUAGCUAAAAGCUACAACUUUAAGCAUCAAUAAAUUGACAUUAUUGACCCAAUAUUUUGAUCAACGAACCAAGUUACCCUAGGGAUAACAGCGCAAUCCACUUCA